rnacentral:tRNA from 1 species
GGGAGCGGGCGGGCGCCUCGCGGAUUUCCCGGAUUUCAAGGCCGGGGCGGGGCUUGAACAGGUCCCGGUCGGAUUCGUUUCCCGCCCGCUCCCGCCA